rnacentral:lncRNA from 1 species
AUGAAGAAAAGUAAUCAUUUCAACGGGCUGAUUCCGAAAGGUUCCCCAGGAGAUAUCCAUGGCAAACGAGUGGAAAAAAUCAAAGAAGAAUUAAGGAAACAUAAUCAAAAGACAGUACCUUUUGCUAUAAUCUCGGGCCUGAUUUUAAAUGGCAACUCAGAUGAAGCUACAAUUAGCAUGAUCUUGCAUGUGCAGCCAGUCCCUCCGCCUCCGCCUCCGCCAGGAUAUGGCCCGAUUUAUGGGUCAAGCCAUGUAGUUACACAAGGAUAUCCUUUAGUGUAUAAGGCAGCCCAGGUGGCACCUCCACCACCGCCAGAAUAUCAACAACAAUCACAGAAUACCAUGCAGAAUGAGUCUACAAUAAGAAAUGUUGUGAGGGAGGAAUUCAGAGCGUAUUUGGCAGAGGUAAGAGUCAUAACUGCAUAGUUUGUAGGUCCAAAAAAAUAUGUAGGAAUGAGGUCAAGAAGGUAGGCAACUGAGGCACAAAACAAAUG